rnacentral:lncRNA from 1 species
AAUAGUUUGGUAGCUGGCGAACAAACCACGCUCAAGCGUGGUGACAUAUGAAGGCUACUAUAUUAAUGCUUUUAAUUUUGCUACGAGAUCGGGAUAAUAACUAUCUAGCACAAAAUAGUAGUGUACAUGUUGUUGCUAAAGCUUUACAGAUAUUAAGCUUAAAAGAAAAAAAAAGCCUUUAUUAUAAGGAAAUGCCUUUUUAUGGGGUUGUCGAUUAAAUUUGGUAGCUUCAUUAUCUGGGGCUUAAAAAAAUACUAUUCAAGCAUGAUUGGGUUGAUGACAGUUUUAACAUUGAUGAGUUAAGAUUCACAAUAGUUAAUUUGGAUAAGAAAGGUUGCAAAUUUGAUUAUUUCAUUCUAGCUAGUCAUGCAAAGUAAGUGUUUUAUGUGAAAGACUAGCUAGAUAAUAGUAAAUCAAUUGUCUUUUUAGUGAGUGAAAAAUGUAAUUAUUCAAAUAGAGCUGGAUGUGAUGUCAUGGAUGUGUAUACACCAUUAUUAACAAUCUUCCACAAUGUAGGUUGGAUAUGGAUGAUGAGAAAUUUGUGUAAGAUCAUAUGGUGAUGCUUUUCAUGUAAAUAUUGAGGCAGAAAAUAAAUAAUUCAAUUAUUGUAAUUUGUUAGCACUACUUCCUAUAAAUAAGCAACUGAUAUGUUUUAUUAUAUUAUUAUUUUAUUAAGUUAUUAUAUUGAUAUCUGAUGCACUUACCAACUUUAUGCAUUUGCAAGUUUGUUGGAGAUACGAUAGAAAAUGAUGAGCAGACACAUGAUCCAGAUCUCGAAGGAUGGCCAAGACGAAACCUUACAAAAAAUAAAGACUUGUAAAAAUGAGCUAGUGACAAGAUUGAGCUCAUGUACAAUUUGUAUGGAGUUUCAGUUAAAAUAUGAGGAAUACAUCAGGAUGAUUAUACGAGAAAGAAUUCCAAUCAUAUAUGAUGAUUAGAGGAAAAUACCACUAGACAUCAAUGGGACAUUGUGGAUUCAUUUUUCGAAAAAGUUCAAGUUGAGUCUUAAGGCUAAAAUCCAAGUGUUCAAACAGAUGGAAAUUGCAUUAAGGGGCUUUAGAUGUAAGCUGGCAAACAUAUAUAUUUUGUCCAAUGCAAACAACUUGAAUUCACUGAAAAAGCCUCUUUUUGAGUAUGAAGGCAUUAGAAAAAAAGACCAGAAUAGCCUUAUUGACAAGCUUUUGUUUGAAGACUUUUAGCUAUGUUUAAAAUUCUACUAGUUGGAAAAUACGAUUAAGUACUUGUAACCAUUUUAAUCAUUAUCCACUUUGUGCUGGAAAAAAGUAAGGCAACAAAGAAUAAAAGAGCAAAGAAUAUGUACAAUCAUCAUUUAGGUAGCACAUGUAUAUGUUGAGCUGUUGCAUAAAAGAGUAAAUACAAUAACCACUACAAUACAAACUUAGAAUAUUUUUAAUACAAACAGCAAGGUGAGUUAGAGUAGUUAUCAUUUUACUUUUUAUCAAAUUAUUGCAGAAAUUAGAGCUCGAUGUUUCUGAGUAAGAGAUUGAUUGCAGUGAAGCAUGAUUAAUGGCUCACAAGAAAAAGGAUGGAACUUACACCCCCGAAGUGCUACAAGUGGCUAAACGAAUAACAAGUUUCUACCACUAUUGUACAUUUAAGAAAAUGAAACAUACAAAUUGCCUGAAACUGAAAGUUAGCUGUAUUAUUUUAUGAUUCGACUAUAUAAGAUAAAGCUAUGUUACUUUUUAUCGCAUAAACUAUGUUGAACAAAUAUCUCAUUUUCAUUACAUUUAAAUUGUAUUCCUAGAGACGUUCAUUAGUAAUUCAUAUAUCCAUCUACUGCUUUGCAUUUGUUGAUUAUAUCGUAAUUGGUAUAGUGCUUUUACCAAAUUUCAUAAGAUUUAUUUGCAAUGACAAUUAGCGUCCUAUAUAAGAUUUAAGUCUUAAGUUCAAGUCUUUAUUAAUGUGCUUGAAAUAAUUGAAACAAGUGGGAAAAAACUAAAAAAAGACUGUUAUUAGCUAUUGCAUGCUUAUAAGUUAUGUUCGUAUAUUUCAAGCAAUAAAACAAAAUUAAUUGUACAUAAAAAGUUGUCGAUUUAAUUAGUGAUUUUAUAAUCACUAAUUGUGACAUAUUACUCGCAUCUAUUAAGUUUGUUUGAUUAAAAGCUUGCAAUUAAUUCUUUUUUUUUAUUGAUGAAUUUUACUGAAUAAUAAUCCAAGUGCAUCUAAACUAACUAGUUGGAUCGCUUUGUUUCUUUUGAUAAAUGCUAGUAAUGACAUGCAUGUUUCAACUAUCAUCAUGUAACUUUUUUUUUAUUCCUAAUUUUAAUCAAUCUUUUUGUAUUUAUUUUGUAGAGCGAGCUAAAAAGCUAGGUUAAGUAGUCGACAUUCCAAUCCCUAAGGCCAAAUUAUAUAUAACCUAGGCAAAACCUUUCAGAAGAAGUCUAAUAGGAGUCUGGUACAAGGAUUAGGUCAAUUCAUCAGCCCAUCAAUGUACUUAAUUAUUCUUGAUCCUACUAAGUUGGUGCAAAAAUGGAGAAUGUACCAGGAGAGUUUUCAAUUUAUGCAAGCUCGAUAAGAUAAAAUGAAUGCAUGGAUAAAUAGCUGCAACAACAAUGAAGUUGCCAGUUUCAACUUUAUAACUCUAAAGGUGGUUGUAGUUAAGAUAGAGAUGGAGAUGAAUCGUCGAUCCUCCACAAAAUUUACUUUAAAGUUAGUGACCAAUAGAUAUAUAGAACAAUAUUUCAGUUGUUUUGUCUAUCAACAGCGCAAAAGGUGGAGCUUUAUGCUUUCUUGGGCAGAAUUCUGGUACAAUACUGUUGGAUCAUAAACUUGAUCCAAGAUGAAUAAAUUCAAGCCCAACUCAUGGAAGGUUCCACGAGUAGGUAUGAUUGGUGAGGUUUGAAUUAUUUGUGUUAGGUGUGGUAGGUGUGGUUGGUGAAGUAGGUGAGCGGUAUGUUUUAAUGGAUGGUGAGGAUUUGUGUAUUAAUUAAAUAAAUGAAUGGUUGUGAUUAGUUUGUUUCAUGUAUAAAUACUCCAUCUCCCCUUUGGUUUAAUCAUCAAGUGGUGAUGCUAUAUAUAGUCAUAUAGAAUAUCAAAUCGAAGAUCUCGACGAGAGGAACGUGACGCCACAAAAAUCAUCCGGAUCCGAGACCGAGCGCGCCCACACUUGCCGCUGGAAGCUUUCUGUUCUGAAGCUGAGUUGACUCACCGAGUUGAACCAAGCUGAGCUGAGCCGAACCGAACCAAGCCGAGCCGAGCUGAACCAAAUCAAGUCAAACCGAGCCAACUCCAGCCGAACCAAGCCGGACCGAACCAAGACUACUAAGCCGACGUUGACCGUUGACCGUUGAAUGAAAAGUUGACUCAAGUCCUUCCCAAGGUUUUUCGACGUGCUGAAUUCAUCUGUGCAUUCAGAAUCUCUAAAUUCUCACUCAAUUUGUGAGUUAUGGCAAACGGUUUUAUGAUGUCAUUUCAAGUUCCACAAUUAAAGGGAAGUAAGUUUGACAAUUGGAGUAUUAAAAUGAAGGCUCUAUUAGGUGCACAUGACGUAUGGGAUAUCGUGGAGAAAGACUUUAUUGUACUAGAAAAUGAAGCCACUUUAACUGCGGCGCAAAAGGAGAAUUUAAAAGACUUGAAGAAGAAAAAGAAUAAAGCAAAGUAUCUCAUCUUUCAAUCAUUAGAUGAAGAUGCUUUUGAAAAGAUUGCUGGUAUAACCUCCUCAAAAGAAGCAUGGGAGAAACUAGAGACCUCUUACAAAGGAGCGGAAUAAGUUAAGAAGGUUCGUCUCUAAACAUUACGAGGAGAAUUUGAGUCCUUACACAUGAAGGAGUCGGAGUCAAUUUCUGACUACUUUACUUGGGUUGUGACUGUUUCUAAUGAAUUAAAAAGAAAUGUCGAGGAGUUAAAACAUGUAAGGAUCAUUGAAAAGAUACUUUGAUCAGUAGACUCGAAGUUUGACCAUAUUGUUGUGACAAUUGAGGAAACAAGAGAUCUAGAGGAUAUGACGAUCGAGCAACUUUAAGGAAGGUUGCAAACCUACGAAGAAAAACUAAAAAAGAAGCAAGAGAUCAAAGAACAACUUCUCAAGAUGGAGGUCAAUCCAAAGAAAAUAGAAGAAAGCUCCAACAAUGAGAAAAUGCACUAUGUCCGAGGUAGAGGAUGAGGACGACGUAGAGGUCGUGGUCAUGGACGAGGUUGGAAUUUCAACAACAACUCCAAUUAUGCCAAAGGAGAAAGCUCAACCAGAGGACGAGGCAGAGGCAAUCCAAGAUCGAGGUAUGACAAAUCUCAAGUACAGUGCUAUAAUUGUCAAAAGUUUGGGCAUUAUACUUCAGAAUGCAGAGCUCCAAGCACCAGAAUUGAGGAGAGAGUGAACUAUGCUGAAGAGAAAAAUGGUGAAGAUGACACACUUUUACUAGCACGCAAUGACACAAGUGGAGGUCAAUAAAAUACAUGGUAUCUUGACACAGGUGCUAGCAAUCAUAUGAGUGGAAACAAAAGCAUGUUCGUGCAACUAAGUGAAUCUGUGAAUGGCAGUGUCGCUUUUGGAGAUGAUUCAAAAGUACCAGUGAAGGGUAUAGAUAACAUUCUUUUUCAUGCAAAAGAUGGUAGUCACCAAAUAAUUUCGAAUGUUUAUUAUGUGCCCAAUAUGAAAAGCAACAUCCUUAGUUUGGGUCAACUUUUAGAAAAAUACUAUGAUAUUCACUUAAAAGAUUGUAGUGUUUUCCUAAGAGAUGACAAAGGAAAUCUAAUUACAAAGGUGAAAAUGUCGAAUAAUAGAAUGUUUCCUUUAAAUAUUCAAAAUGAUGUUGCAAAAUGUCUCAAAGCCUGUCACAAAGAUCCAUCCUGGAUUUGGCAUCUUCGAUAUGGGCAUCUCAACUUUGGAGGAUUAGAGCUACUCUUCAAGAAGAACAUGGUGAAAGGCUUACCAUACAUCAAUUACCCUGAUCAACUUUGUGAAGGAUGUUUACUUGGCAAGUAGUUCAGAAAGAGCUUUCCAAAUGAGUCAAACUCAAGAGCUCAGAAGCCCUCAAGCUCAUUCAUACUGAUGUGUGCGGUCCAUUCAAGCCAAGCUCCCUUGGUAAAAGUAACUACUUCCUUCUCUUCAUAGAUGAUUUUUUAAGAAAAACUUGGGUGUAUUUUUUAAAGCAAAAAUCGGAAGUCUUUGAAACUUUCAAGAAGUUUAAAGCUGCAGUGGAAAAAGAAAGUGGAUACCAAAUUAAAGCCAUGAGAUCUGAUUGAGGUGGAGAGUUCACUUCCAAAGAAUUUUUAGAGUUUUGUGAAGCAAAUAGAAUUCGACGCCCUUUGACAGUUCCAAGAUCCCCCCAACAAAAUGGUGUUGCAGAAAGGAAGAAUAGAACCAUCCUCGACAUGGCAAGAAGCAUGCUUAAAAGUAAGAGGCUACCUAAAGAAUUUUGGGCUGAAGCUGUUGCAUGUGCAGUCUACUUAUCCAAUUGAUCUCCAAUAAGAAGUGUGUGAGGCAAGACACCACAAGAAGCUUGGAGUGGAAGAAAGCCCGGCAUCACCUAUCUAAGAGUUUUCGGAAGUAUUGCCAUGUACAUGUACCAGACGAAAGUAGAGCCAAGCUGGAUGAAAAAAGUGAGAAGUUCAUCUUCAUCGGCUAUGACAACAACUCCAAAGGAUAUAAGCUUUACAAUCCAAACAACGGAAAGAUCGUGAUCAGUCGAGAUGUAGUUUUUGAUGAAGAAGGAGAAUGAGAUUUUGGCUCUGGUGUGGAUGACUCCAACUUCUUUCCCAUUGAAGAAUAUAAUCAUACACAAAUAAAACAAGUAGAAGAACAACAAGAGCCAGCUACUCCACCUAUCUCACCAGCAUCAACCACAUGUGGAGAUUCACCGCCAUCUUUCUUAAAUGAAAGAACCGAAUAACGUACAAGGAGUCUUCAAGAUCUCUAUGAGGUAACUGAGAGACAUGAUAAUCUCACUCUCUUUUACUUUUUUGCUGAUUGUGGGUCAGUCAACUUCGAAGAAGCUGCACUAGAUGAGAAGUGGAGAAUUGCAAUGGAUGUAGAAAUCAAAGCCAUUGUGAAGAAUGAUACUUGGGAGCUUACUACUCUUCCCAAAGGGCAUAAGGCGAUCGGUGUCAAAUAGGUGUACAAAACAAAAAGAAAUGCAAAGGGAGAAAUUGAAAGGCACAAGGUGAGGCUAGUUGCAAAAGGCUAUAGUCAAAAGGCUGGCAUAGACUACGACGAGGUAUUUGCUGCCGUAGCUCGACUUGAAACUAUUAGACUUAUUAUUUCUUUGGCUGCUCAGAACAAAUGGAAGAUUUUUCAAAUGGAUGUCAAGUCUGCUUUCUUGAAUGGAUUCAUUGAAGAAGAAGUUUACAUCGAACAACCAUUGGGCUAUGUGGUGAAAGGACAUGAAGACAAAGUUUUGAGAUUGAAGAAAGCUCUUUACGGGUUAAAGCAAGCACCAAGGGCAUGGAAUAGUAGAAUUGACAAGUAUUUUCAAGAGAAAUGCUUCACCAAAUGCCCAUAUGAACAUGCUCUCUACGUCAAAGAAAAAUAUGGAGAUAUUUUGAUUGUGUGCCUGUAUGUGGAUGAUCUCAUCUUCACUGGAAGUAAUCCAAGCUUGUUUGAAAAGUUCAAGAGAGUGAUGAUCAAAGAAUUUGAGAUGACUGACAUCGAACUGAUGGCAUAUUAUCUCGGCAUUGAAGUCAAACAAAAGGAAUAAGGCAUAUCUAUCUCCCAAGAAAGCUAUGCAAAGGAGAUUCACAAGAAGUUCAAGAUGAAUGAUUGUAAGCCUAUAAGCACGCCAGUGGAAUGUGGAGUCAAGUUAUCCAAACAUGAUGAAGGCGAAGAUAUAGAUCCAACAUUCUUUAAAAGUUUGUUUGGAAGCCUACGUUAUUUGACAUGCACGAGACCAGAUAUCAUUUAUGUUGUUGGACUUGUGAGUCGAUACAUAGAGAAUCCAAAGACCACCCAUUUUAAAGCAGCAAAAAGAAUCCUUCGCUACGUCAAAGGUACAACUAAUUUCGGCUUGUUAUACUCAUUUUCUAAUGACUACAAGCUUGUUGGAUAUAGCGAUAGCGAUUGGGGUGGAGAUGUAGAUGAUCGAAAAAGCACCACAGGAUUUGUGUUCUUCAUAGGAGAUACUGCUUUCACAUGGAUGUCAAAGAAGCAACCUAUUGUCACGCUAUCCACUUGUGAAGCUGAGUAUGUAGCUGCCACAUCAAGUGUUUGUCAUGCAAUUUGGCUCAGAAAUUUGCUGAAGGAGUUGGGUUUGCCACAAGAAGAGCCAACCAAGAUUUGUGUUGAUAACAAAUCAGCAAUUGCCCUAUCCAAGAAUCCAGUCGUUCAUGAUCGAAGCAAACACAUAGACACUCGCAAUCAUUUUAUAAGAGAGUGUAUUGCAAGAAAAGAAGUGCAAAUCAAGUAUGUAAAAUCACAAGAUCAAGUAGCUGAUAUCUUCACUAAGCCACUCAAGAAAGAAGACUUCGUAAAAUUCAGAAGUUUGCUUGGUGUCACAGGAUCAAGUUUAAGGGGGGCUGUUGGAUCAUAAACUUGAUCCAAGAUGAAUAAAUUCAAGCACAACUCAUGGAAGGUUCCAUGAGUAGGUAUGAUUGGUGAGGUUGGAAUUAUUUGUGUUAGGUGUGGUGGGUGUGGUGGGUGUGGUUGGUGAAGUAGGUGAGUGGUAGGUUUUAAUGGAUGGUGAGGAUUUGUGUAUUAGUUGAAUAAAUGAAUGGUUGUGAUUAGUUUGUUUCAUGUAUAAAUACCCCUUCUCCCCUUUGGUUUAAGAAUCAAGUGAAGUAACAAAAUCUCUAAGGUGUAGAGAGAGAAAAAUAAGAGUUGUAAUUGGUGAGGAGUGUUGUUGAAGAAAUAAAAUAGUGUUUUUUUUGUGUGUUUUAUUUGUUAAUUCUCCAACAAAUACGACUUAUCAUGCAUCGAUGGGAAUGACAUCAUUCCAAGCUUUGUAUGGUCUUUUGCCUCCCAUCAUUCCUCAUUAACAGGCGGGCACCUCUCCAAUGAAUGAGGUAGUCUAAAACCUUAAGUCACGAGAUGACUUACUGCUCCAACUCAAGGAACAUUUACAUGCUGCCAACAACCGCAUGAAACAGACAGCUAAUGGUCAUCAACGCGACAUCGAAUUCGAAGAGGGAUACCUGGUUUACCUUAAGCUUUACCGCCAACACACACUCUUCAAGAGAGCAGCUCAAAAACUAGCAAGCUGGCUCUAUGGUCCUUACUUCGUUGAAAAGAUAAUUGGCAAGCUCAUAUCAACUCAAGCGUCUAGCUGGAUCUCGAAACCAUCCAAUUUUUCAUGUUUUGUUACUUAAAAAGAAGCUGCGGGACUCCUGCACCCCAAGUGCUGACUUACCUCUUUUACUGACCAGAAGGAAAUGAUUUUGGAGCAAGAGGCUGUUGGAGUUUUUUUUUUUUUAAUAAUAUAGAAGCAAACGAGGAAAAGCAAAUAGAUAGGUUUGAGGCGUGGAUAGACACUUGCUUUUUAAGGUUUUGUUUGCCCUCACCAUACUUGGUUUACUAUAUAGUUGAAUAGUAAAUUACCCCAAAAAUACAACAAACCUUGAAUACAACCUCUAGCAAUAAAAUUAUAUUCCAGAACAUGUUUUGAAUCUGUAAUAAGGUGGAGUAUUUAUAGAAAAUAAAGUGUCUAUUCAUGAAGAGACUUGUCUACACACAAGUGACACAACCUUUUAAUGAAAAAAUACAUCUAUUCAUAAAUAAUACAACUCUUCACAUAAAGGCACCUUUUAAAGUUGAUAUAUCUUUUCAUUUAAUUAAUUUAAAAUAAAUUAACUAAUUAAUUAUUCAAAGAGAUAUUACAAUCUUUCUUACAGAGGCUGUAUUGAAUACAUGCUAGGUGAAAAGAGGAGCAAAAUUCAUCAAGGAAAGUUUGGUCAAAUGGCGGGCUACCUGCUGACGAAGCCACUUGGGAAAAUGCCAAUGAACAUCAAGGGAGGUUCAUUAGCUUAGACCUUGAAUACAAGGAUCCAAUGAAGGAGGAAGGUAUUGAUAAGCUUCCAUGUAGGUCUCAGCAUGUUGGUGUGAAGAAUCAUAACUACGUGGGUUGAAGUUAUUGUGCAUUGAGGCAUGCAUGGAGUUGACGACAGCUUGUCAAGAAUUAUGGAGGACUUCGUUUCUAUCCAUUGGCUAGCGCGAUUUAUGCAUUAGAUUGCGUCAAGAGUUUGUUUACAGGUUUUAGCUAUUAUCUUGCUAUUAGUUAUUAGGGGCACUAAUACGUAUUUGGUUUAGAUAUUAUUUUUAAUUCUUAUAAUUGGCUACAAAAGCUAGUGGAUAACUUGUAGUCCUAGUCUAAUGCAAAUUGCUUCUAUAUUAUCGUAGAAAGUGGUUGCAAUAGGGAGUAGUUGCAAUUCUUUUCAACCAGAUGCUCCUAUUUGGUCAGAUCCGUGACAGCAACCUCCUAUGUUACUUUCAUUACAGUAUUUCUAAACAAGUUCCUGAAUAACAAGACUAAUGAUUUUCUUGAUAUCCAUGAUGAUAGUAGCGAUAUCAAUGCUAGUGACCAUAUUAAUUGUGACCUUGAUAUGGAGCUGGAGCUUUUUACUAUGAUGAAUGCGCUGAAUAUUAAUAUGAUGUCAGAAAUAGGUCGAUUUUAAUAUCAACCUUUAAUUUGAAUUAACAAAAGUAAUGUCACCUGACAUAAUAUAGGUUCCAAACAUUCAUGGUCAGAAUGUGAAUGAGAGAAAUAUUUAUUCCACAGUCUAUUGGUGAACUAUCUCUAGAGAUUGUGAAAGAUGUUAUGUUAGUAAUAUUCUUAUUAUUGUUUCAGACUCAUAUUCCCCAAAAAGUGGAAAAGAAUUCCAUCUACUCCCUACUGCAACCAUUUCCUACGAUAAUAUAGAAGCAAUCUGCAGGACUACAGUUAUUCACUAAUUUGAAGCCAAUUAUAAGAAUUAAAAAUAAUAAUUAAACCAAAUACAUAUUAGCGCCCCUAACAAACGCCUGGGCCAAUCUUAUUAUGCCUUACGUCUUCUUUUAACUCUAAUUUUGCGCCAAUCACGUAUGCAAAGAAUAAAACAAAAAAAAUAAGGGUCACUAACAAUUCAUGUAAGAUGAAAGGACCCCAUUUCAUUUGUCAAGGACACGGAUAAACAAGGUAAUUAUGAGACCACUGUAUAUGUUCGGUCAUAACGAAAAAUAAUAGUUAUUAUUAUCAAUAAUAGUUACUAUGAUAUCGGGUUAAAUAAAACCUUCCCAUUUUUUGAGUGACAAAUUAAUGCUCAUUAAAGAGGGUAGUGUUGGGCAAUGCUUAUAAAGACUAAAUUAAGGCAUAACGAAAUGACAGGUUACACUUCAACAAAUCAACACAAAAAUAAUAUCAGGCAUUGUAACGGUACUAAAUUAUCUUAUAACAAGAUAAUAACUAUGUAGAGAAACUCUUUUACUGUUUUGAAUUAGAUCAGCAUUGGAUUUAAAUUCCACUAGUAAUAUGAAGAAUAAUAUUAUAUUUUUCAAUCAAUAUUGUAUUUUUUAAUGUAAAAUGAAGUAAUUAAUAAUUUUAUAAGAUAUAACAUUAAAAAUUUGGAUUCUCUCCUAACUUAAUUUUCCUUACAUUUUAUUGGAGAUUAUGACAUAUGUCACCUAAAACCUUGUACGAUUUACUUUUGCUUUCAUUAUUAAACUCUACAUCUUCUGAUGGCUAUUAUCCUCUAACUAUUUUCUGGUAAUUAAAAAAAAUAGAAAAAUGUUUCGAUUGUCAUACUUACUAUAAGUAUUUAGGAAUUGGAAUCACAAUUAAGACUAAUAUUUGGAAAUCAAAGGUUCGAGCCCAUAAAGUUGACCUUGUAACAUUAUACGUAAUUGGUCCCUAGUGAUUUGUAAUAUGCAUGAGACGUGAGAUACACGUGUGUCCUUUAUGUUACCCACAGAGUAUUAUCGAUUAUUAUAUUCCUUCUAAUGGUAAAUGAUAUCACUGAGGUGAAUGCGUUUCUCUAAUCCACCAAGGCAAAGUCGUAAUUUAUGCAAAAAAUUAAUAACAUACCAUAUAUGCAUGCAUCCUUACCAAAUUGACAAAAUAUAGGAUAAGAACAAAAAUAAAUCAAUCUUCAAUCCGCAUGAGCAAUUCUAUUUAAGAAUACGACGUCCUGAAUUGCCAAAGAAAUCCAAAACAAUUGCAAAAUUUAGAGAGAAAAAAAAUGGCUGCUUUCACCAAAUACAUGUUGUUUCUCACACUUUUUGUCCUCUCCAUUACUUUGUCCAAAGCUAUUUAUUUCAGUGGUAACCUGCACGUUCACAUCACCAACGAUUUACAGCCAGGCUUAAAUCUAACCUUUCAUUGUAAAUCUGGGGAUAAUGACCUUCGAGAACGUGUUCUCUCUCAUGGGCAGACCUUUGAUUUUCAUUUCCGAAAGAGUGUAUACAGGGACGACACAUUAUUCUAUUGCAGCUUUGCGUGGAACGGUGCGUUUCAUUGGUUCGAAAUCUACAACCAACUGAGGGAUGAUGAUUAUUGCGAAGAGCUGUGUGAUUGGAAAAUAAGAGAAGAUGGUCCACGGUUGAUGCUAAAUGAUGGUAAAAUUAGGUUUAUGGCUUAUGAGUGGAAAGAUUGAUGAAUUGUCUAUGAAAUAAGACCAUGUACUCCUUUACAUUCAAUAAUUGAUCGUAACUAUUGUUUUCAUAAUUUGGUUUAUUUUUCUUCUAUUCUUUCUAUAUGAUUUUUGUAUUUAAUGUCAAAGGAUAGAUAUAGGCAACAUAUUUACAAAAUGUAGCUCUGUUAGUAGUGAAUGAAUUUUGUUCCUGUGACCAUCUGACUGAUCGGUAGCAGUAGAGAUUAAGGGACAACCGGACAAGGUUUCUCAUUCCAAUUCAGGCUAUAAAAAUAAAAUUUAAAAAAAUAGAAAUCUCAACAAAUAUAUAUACGACCUUUAAUAGGGCGCAAGGGUGGGUGUAUUAUAUAAGCUUAUAAUGAAAUCCAGAAAGCUUGCAAUGAACAGUUGAAUAAUCCCCAACGUUAAAAAACUUUUCUAACUUAACGAGUCGCAAGUUAUUACCCACUGCGGACUUGAAUGCCUAGUAAAAAAUUAUUUCAAAGUUGUUAGUCCCUAAUGAGCUAAGAAAAUUAAUUCUUGAGCCAGCAUUUGAGAGUUGUUUAAUUUCUAUUAUUGCCAAAUUCUAGACGAGCACACCUUUUAAGGAAAAAACAUUGCAAACUAAUAAUCUGAAAUUUCAAAGAUUACUGUUUUUAUUUUUUGGUUAAAUUUUCAAUUUAUUUCGAAGGUAAUAAUCUUAUAAGAAUUGGUCUUAUAUUAAAUAAAUAUUUGUAAAGCUUGAGACUAACCCCAAUUCCUAAGAUAGAUUUUAAGUAUGCAUUGAAAUUUUAUAUAUUAUUAGAGUCAAACUUAUGUAUGAACGGACCCAUUUAUACUACAUUAUGAUCACGUGAGAAGAACAUGACAAAUAAGUUUGGUCUACACGUGACAAGGGGUGUAGGAAACAAAUUAAUCCCACAUCGCUAUCAUUUAAGAUCAGCCUACCGGUGAUAGGUUCGUGGGUUUCUUGCGCAUUUGGUCCAAGAUCAACUCUUAGUUUUUCUCUCUAUUGUAUUUCGGAUAAGUAUCUAUGUUGUCUCUGUGAUGCUGUAAAACACUAUCAAAUCCUUAGCUGUCUGUGAGUAUUAAUCUUCUUCAUGUUAACAGCAAGCAGAUUUUGGGUUAUCAGGAUCAAAGUCAUAAUAAAUUUCCUAUUUUGUUCCGUAUGUAGUAUGUACCAGGAUGAGUAAAGAUUCAUUCUUCAUCUCUUUCUUGCGUAUAUAUUACAUAUUUGGCAUAUCUAAUUAUUCUAUAUAAAAAGAUAAUUCGUAUUCUCAAAUUCCUUACAAGAAAUAGUAAUAAACUAAUAAAAUAAAAUAAAAAAUCUUAAGGAUUAGCGCAAAUAUUAUUUUCAGGCCAAAUCCAAGUUUGACCAAUUUUCCAAUUUCUUUCAAGUUUGUAAUCUUUGGAAUUAAUACUGCGACCAACUAUUUAAAGAAAUCAAAAGUUCAAUUCGCUCCCGCUACAAAUUCAAGAAUUAUGUGAUGCGCAGAGCUAUACCUUUGCAUUUAAUGAAAAUAUUUGGAAGAUCCUUAUACUUUUGUGGAUUUGUAUGGAGUGGCAGGUUGUAUUGGUACGAUAUCUAUAAAGGCAGUAGCGGUUCGACCUCUAGGUAACUUAGGUGGUUGCCAAGCUCCCGUUUUAUAUGAAAGCACCACAAGAUGAUUAUUUUGUAUAUAAAAGGGAAACGUGAAUUUAAAAGUCAUUAUUAUUCAUUUAAUUUAUUAUUAUUUUGUAAUUAUCUUUUCCUAAAUAAACUAUCAAAUUCUUAUCAAGUUUAUUUAAUGUAGUACUUAGUAGUUUUAAUUUCUAUAAAACCGAUAAAUUAAUAGUUUCAAUCCUAAAAAUUCUCUAGUUCAUUGUUAGAAUUAAUAUGUUAUAUUUCAAAAGUUUUAUAUUCAUUUUAAACAUCUAUAAAAGCCCCACAUUUUAUUACUUAUCCAUUAAAUUUUUCCUCCAACAAUUAAGACAUGAUAUGUUCUUGGUGUUCGAGAGAAAGAAAGAGGGAAAGGGAAAAAAAUCCUGCUUCCUCUACUUUCCACUCAAGAAGAAAAAGAAAAAAUCUAAUAGUUUUCUCUAUUCUCUAUGACUAUUGAUCAUUACUCAAAUCCUCAAACAAUUAAUAUAAACAUAAGUUAAUUUAUGAUUUCAUCUCAAAUUUCAGAUUUUAUCUUUUUAUUAUUCUCUCAAUUAGUUGUGUUAUUUAUUUGUUCUUAUUUCUUUUUAAUAUAUUCUUUUAUUCAUCUACUUUUUUUUUGUGUGCUUGUUUUAUCUAUUUUGAAAUAAAAUUAUAUCGAAUAACUUUAGAGGAUAGAAGAAUAGAAAAAUUAGUUUAAUUUAGAAAAGGAGUAGUAAAAAAGAUAUAAUUUGAGUUAAAAAAACAAUAAGUGGAAAUGUUAUGAUUGAAUUAAAAUUUCAUGGAUUAGCAACAGUAGAAUAGAAUUUAUUUAAUAAUUUUACAUUUUAGAGUAUUUAAAGAUUUGUUUUCAAUAAAUAAUAUAUAUAUAUAUAUAAUCCUAAAUUUUAUGAAAAAUUAAUUAAAACCAUUUGCGUAAGGAUAUGGUUGAGCCGGCCCUGUAUAAAAGUUGUCGGGAUAGUUGCUUCCAAUGUAACUGGACCGUAGUACCAUGUGGUCCUUUUUUGACUCUGAAUGAAUAUGACGAUCUUACAUGUUAUCAAUGGAAUUCUUAAUGAAUAUUGUUUGGCAUAUAUUCAUAAUGUGCAAUAAAGUCCUCAAAUUCCAUUGAAUAAUUUGUAAUCUUAAUAUUUUGUGCAUGAUUUUUUCUAUUAGUUAACUUCCAUUUCGAAUUUUGAGCAUACAAGCAUUUUUUUCAUAUGAAAGAAGGCCAUAUCACGAGAAAAUUGUAAUCCUUGUCCACUCCAGAUAACUCGCUCAAGCUUUUCAAAAAAUUUUAAAAAAUAAAAAUAAAAAUAAAAAGUAACUGUAUCAAGUCAUCAGUACUGUUAAUUUCCUUUUGGCCAAACGAAAUUCAAGGACUUGUUAAUCAAUUUAGAUGAGUAAUGGGUGACACAGCAUUUGAUAUUUUUUUUAUCAAAAUUGAUGUGUAAUAUUUCCAUGGUUGAAUUAAAAAUAUGUUAGGACCUACAUAAUUUAUUUUAUUUUUUAUUAUUUUAAUCAUUUAAUUAUAUCAUGUCACAUCAAUUUAUACAAGAUUGUUUCACUAUAACAAAAGUGGCUAUUGGCUACCAAUUAUUUCCGAGGGACAUAUAAAUCCCUAGGUGAAAAGUAGUUUUCUGAUGGAUUUUAAUUCACUGCAGGUAAAAUAGAAAAAUGUAUAAGUUAUUACCUAGGCAAAAUUUUCCGUCUCUAAAAAGAUAAAAAAUCCUUUGCUAUUAUGAAUUAUUUAUCACUGGAAGGUUAGCCCCCAAAUUUAGACUCUACUACAAAAUUGGGUUUUCUUGACAAAAUAUUUUUGUCUCAAAUCAUGUUGCUGACAUAAUUUUAUUCUAUCAAAAAAGCCCUUGUUAGAAUAUAGUGACAGAAAAUUCAAUAAUUAGUGACAAAAUACUUCUGUCAAGGAAUUGUGUUACAAUUCUUUACUUCCAUGACAUCGGAUGUGGCAAAUUACGUGGCAUCUUAUUUUGCAAACAUGGCAUUUGACAUGGAAAAUAAAUUUUAUGUUUACAUAACAUUACAUCUUGUGCUGAUUAAUUUUUUUGAGCUAAAUUUUUGUAAAUUAAAAAAAAGGUCAAUAUUAUUAUUUAUUUUAAAAUAAAUAAUUUUUUUCCUUUCAAUUACCAACAACCCAUAUUUUUGCAGUACCCUUGCAAUAAUAAAACCAUUUAUCCAUUAAAUAUUUUUAAAACUACAAUGCAAUUUAAAAUAUUUCAAUUAUUCUGUUAUUAAAUAUUGCUAAUAUCAUAAAAAUUUACAUACAUAUUGACCCAAGUUAAUAUAAACAAAAUUUCUUUUUUCGAAACCUUAAAUCAUUCGAGACUGCAUCCUCUCCCUGCACUAGAGAUGGCAACUGGAUUGCUCCAUAAUGAAUAUCCACAAUAUCCAUCUAAUUGAAUCUGAUAAUAUCCAUUCAAAAUUUUUUGAAUUUAGAAAUGAAUAUUUUAAAAUUAUAUCCAGAUGAAUAUGAAUAGAUAUAGAUAAUUAUUUUUACCUAAUAGAUAUCCGUUUAACCCAACACAAAUUUAAAAAGUUUUAAUUUUAUAAAAUAAAAAAUAAAAAAUAUAAUAAACAAACAAUUGUAAAAAUAUUAUAUUAACUAGUAAAAAAUUUAAAUUCCUCUUAUAUUAAAAACUAAAAUUUUUAAAAUUACCCUUUAAUUUUUUAUCCAUAGAUCUCCAUAGGUAUAUGAAUAAAAUCCAUAUCCAUAUACAAUAUUAAAUACUGGAUAUGGAUAUAGAUAUAUCCAUUAUGGAUAAUUAUGAAUUUGUGUUUAGAUAGAUAUUAUCCAUCCAUAAUUAGAUAUUUGCCAUCCCUACCCUGCACGAAUUACAUCACUUUAAAAGGCAAAAUUACAUUUGAUCAAAUUGAAUCUAAACUCAUGCUUGAUACCAAAAUCUCAUCAGCUCACAUAAUCAGCAACAAUACUUGAUCCUGAAGGCAUAACCCAAAUCUUAGCAAGUUGAAUCUGCAGUCAUGACAGAAAAUUGCAUCAAUACUACUCCGAUAUCUUAGCAAGCGAAUCUAAUGCCAUAGGUUUUAAAAAAGUAAAUAUUAAAUAGUAUUUAGGCCAAUUAACAUAUUCUAAUUUCUUCAUGAGAAUCAUUACUAUGUAAUACUUAACAACUUUUUUAUUAUAUUUCGUUAACACUUUAUGUGCAUUGUUGCUUUGAGAUGAAAUUACAACAUAUACAUUUAUAAACACUUAAAGACUUUUUUAUUUGUGUAGUAAAUUGUUAAACUGGCUCAUAAAAUUAGCUAACAACAUAAGUUGCUCUGAGAUGAAGUAUCAUACUUUUACUCUUUGGGAAAUCAAUUACUUUUAUAAAUUAUCAUACGCUCUAAUUUGAAAAUUGUAUCAAAACGCUCUUAAUCAUUUGUUUUAUUGUUUAUAAAAAAUUGUGUCCUGCAAAAAAAAAAAAUUGUCACUUUUAUACUCAUACUAAAAACAAUCUGUUGAAAAUAACACAAGGCAUUAUAACAAACACUUGGUGUACAAAUUUUAAUUGUUACUUAAAUUUUAACAUUCAUUAAAUCUUCAUGCUCGUACAUUGGAGACCAAUCAGAUGAUCACAAUAAGAAAUAUAUCAAAAAUUACAACAAAAAAAUAUCGUAAUACUGUCAAUAUCGAAGACAAUUUUGCAAGCAAGCCAAUUUUACUAUUCAUAUAACAUGAAUUUAAUUAAAAUAAACGAAGACCUUAAAUUAUAAUGUAAAAAGCGUGAAUAAAUUUAUAAUAAACAAAGAACAAGGUAAAGUAAUGUCAAAAGCUAGCUCACCUGAGAAACCAAUGAUGAAAGCCAAACAGGAGGAAAAAGACAAUCUUGAGAUGAAAUUAGCUCUUCGGCCAUCUGGACCUUAGCUGAGAUUAAACAAAAAAUUGCUUCAGAGACAAAAAGAAACAAAUCUGGAGAGAAGAAUUAAAAGCCCCAACCCAAAACUAUUAGAUUACCUACUCGAAUUUCGGUUGUUUCAUUUUUGGAUAUGAUUGCUCAGAAAAUGAUGAAAGCAAAUGACUUAUUUGUGAGGACUGGAUCAACAAAAUUAAAUUUUGUAUGUUACUUUGAUGGUGAGGUUAACAUUUAUGAGAGAGAGAGACGGAGAGCCAAAGAGGGAGGCGAAGGCCAGAGAGGGAAGGGGAGAACCAUGAGUUUCGUUCUUAUUUCGGUCGCACAUAAAAAAAAAAUCCCGCUAAAAAAAAAAUAAAAAGGGAAUUGGAGAGAGGGAAUUUCAAUAAUUUUGAUUUGGCGCACUUUUCCAGCACUCAUUUUACCACUAUUUGAUAUUUUAAUUGUUAACGCUCAAAUUUAAGCUUGAAUUUUUUAAAACCUUUUUCAUUGUAUUUUAUAAAAUUACAAUUCAUAAACUUUUUCAUUAGAUUAGGUAUCAAAGUUUUGUUAAAGAAUUAAAACUUUAAAUAUAUAUUAUGGAUAGGUUAAACAAAUAUUAAAAAGCGUAUUUUAAUUAAAAGUAAAAUAUAUAUUCUUUUAUUUUUUAAACAUUUAUGGGACCUUUUAUUGAAGUUUAAGCUUUUCGAGAGAUCCACUGUACUUACUAUAUGGCAAAUUCUUAUUAGUCCAACACACCUCAACAUGAUGAGGUGGCACAUUUGGCCUACAUAAGUUUUUCUCUUUUGAGCAUAUUAAAUUAUAUCAUUCUAAAUUAUUGAUGUGGCAACAUAAAAUAAUAAAUUGUUUGAUAGAAUUUUGUCAUUGACUUACUAUAAUAUAUUCACAUUAGUUAAGUGAUUGAAAUCUUUCAAAAACUAUGUCAUUUUUCAAUGCCUACAUGUAACUAAAAUUUAAAAAGAAAAAUCAUUGAUACAAUUAUGUCAAGAAAAAUUUAAAAUAUUUAAAACAUAUUUUCUUAAAAUAUUAAUAUGAGAAAUUUUAUUUAAACCUUUUGAUAGUGCUCUGUCAAGAAUUACUUAAUUUACUAUAUCAAGUGCGGGUGGCUCCAUGGAAAGAAAUCUUGUUGCCAAAACUCGUUUUUGUGUGCACUUCCUUAAACUAAAAGGACGAGGUGGUGCUCCAUAACCUCGCCCCAUUGAAGCUUUCAAGAUGCUGAAACCUUCUUACAAAAUAAAGAAGAUUAAAGAGAGGGGGAUUAUGGAAGACGAGUGGUACAAGAAGGGAUAGACAAGAGCUUGAAAUAAAGGCGAAAAUGGAGAAAGAAUGGUGAGUUUUAUUAACCAAUAUAAUGAGUAGUGUUGCUGCAAAUAAAGAUAGAUUGGAAGAAGAAUUUUAAAAGUUAUUGUAACAAACCUUGGACAUUUUUUUUAAAAUAAAUUUAUUUUUCUAUCCCUAUGUCCGUCAAUUUGUUAAAAGUGUCUUUUGAAUAUAGAACAUAUAGGAUGAAGAUAUAUAUGUUGGGAAAAUAUACUCUUUAAAAGCAUAUGUGUUUAUUUAAUUGUAAUAAACAAUUUUUCUGAUUAAUAAAAUAAAUGAGGUAUUUUAUUCAAGUAUCUUAAUUGCAUUAAUAUUUUGAGUAAAAGCCCAUUUAAUCAUAUAUUUAUGUGAUCACCAUGUGGAUUCACAGAAGAUAUAAAUACAAGUUAUCUUAUGAUUAAAUAAAUUAAGUUCGCAGUUGAUAAAUAAAGUUGGGCACUUUAUUUGGGUAUAAAAUGUAAUAAAUUCAUUGAAGAUUUGUCUUAAUUAUGUAUGAAUUUAUUGAUGUAGUAUGACUACAUUGAACAAGAUCACAUAUGAGAUUUAAUUAAUUUUGUAAUAACUGUAGACUUAUUAAAUCUCAUAGGCAUUGAUUUUACUGUAACCUUAAUCUUGAGUUAGUUAUGAGUUCAUGAUUGUAAUUGUUAUUCCAUUUGAGUUACUAAUGGGCACGACACACACUUGUAGUCAAGAUUACCAAGUAUCUCGGUGGGAGCAAUUAUGAGUAUUAGAGUUAUAGAUUAACAAUAUAGAAUUUGUACAACACAUCUCUUGAUGGGUUUUCGGCACUUGAUCAUAGAAUUCUCUGGUCAGAGUGUGUCAACAUAUUUAGUAUGUUGAAAAUGAUCAUUAGAGAAAAUCAGUAAGUAUCAAGGAACAAGAUGUAAUUAAAUUGAUUUGACAGUUGAGAUAUGGAUUUAUUAACGAUGUGGUACAAAGGAUUAUGCAGUAAAGAAAUCAAUGUGGCAUGGGUCGAAUUAUUAUUCGAGAACACUAUCUUGGAGAGCAUACAAUUAUGGAGGUCAGUUCCAAUCUUUUAGAGGAGUAGAUUUUGAAUUAAAUAAUUUGGCUAGUUUAAUUACAGACAUAAUUAUUGUAGCCACAAUUGUAUGUACCCAAAUGAUCCCCAAGUUAGCUCAUUUAAUUGAUUGUCCCGCUACUGGAUUAAUAAGCAAGAUAACUAGUUAUUUGGGUUAAAAGGCUAAAUAUAUUAUUUAGUGGGAGGCUCCAUAAAAUAUGUUUGUGUGUAAGGGGUCUUGUGUUAUUUUACAAGGUGGGCCCCUCUACCAAGAAGAAGUAACGUUACUUUUUGUUUUAUUAUUUUUUAAUUUAAAUUAAAGUUGAUUUAAUAGAAUUAAAAAUAAUAAAUAUGGAGCUUAGGGUUUCCAUUAAAUAGAGAUAUAAAAAGGCAUGUUUUCUCCCAAAAAGAAGAGGGAGACCAUAUUAUACAGUUCAGAGAAAAAUAUUUUUUCUCUCUAAUUUUGAGAGAAAUAAUUUCUCCUGCUAGUUGCUUUUAGUGGUGAUAAAGGCGCCCACACGUCAAGUGCAGAUCAAACCUCAGUCAUAACUUGGAAGAUCAUUUGUGACGGAUCGUGACCUAACAAGAGUGGUGGUGACAGAUCGUGAUCUAACAGGAGUGGUGGUGACGAAUCGUGAUCUGGAAGCCUAGAUUAAUUCAGCGAAAAAGCCAAAUCGGAUUGUCAAUGUAUGAUUUUCUAGAUUACAAAUUCCUAUGUAUUGUAUGAGAUCGUUCCUAAAAGUUUUUAUAAAAUUUUAAAAAACUGAUUUUUCCCCAACAAUAUAUUCCUAAAAUCUCCUUAAAUUUAUUGUCAUUUCUCUAGUUAAAUUAAAUGACAUUAAAACUUAAUUGAUGGGUAAUGAAUAUACAUGCAGUUUUGAGAAGGCAAAUUGACUACUUAUAUAUGUUGUUUUGUUGCGCAUUUUGGUCUAUUAUAAAUGGAAUUUUGUUUGUUAGUUUGUUUGCAUUUCACAUUAUGUUCAGUUAUCCUUUAUAAUUAGUAGGGAUGCGGCUAAUUUAGAAAAUGGCAUAAUUAAUUAAUCUGAGAAAUGAGCUAAUAAGAGAUCAUCACGAGAUGUCUGGAGCUGAAGCCAUUUGAUAAACUAGUGCUAUUUUCCAUGUGUAUGAAAGAACUUUGGUUCACAUUUCCGGAGUAUCUACAAGCAGCAACUGAAACACUUCCUACAUAUUUUGCAUAUCAUAUUUAGCAUAGUUUAUUAACUAUUUUAUCUUAUGCAUUAAAGUAGAAUCCAGAUUUGUCCAUAAGUUAGUUUGACAAUACCUGGCAGAUGGGAUUUGACUCAAGUAAAUAUCGAGUGAUCUUACAUGAUUGAAAAAAAUGCAUUGAAGUAGAAUCUAGCUUUGUUCAUAUAUUCCUUGAGGAAAGUUGUAAAACAUAUGUCGUAUGCUUGUUUCGUAGUGGUGUAUGCUAAAAAAAGUGCUAGUAUACUCUUAAUAUGGUUUUCAAAUAAUGCAAGACCUUGUUUUUAUUGGAAAAAUAUGCUCUUUAAAAGCAUAUGUGUUUAUUUAAUUGUAAUAAAUAAUUUUUUUUAUUAAUAAAAUAAAUGAGGUAUUUUAUUCAAGUAUCUUAAUUGCAUUAAUAUUUUGAGUAAAAGUCCAUUUAAUCAUAUUAUAUGUAUUUAUGUGAUCACCAUGUGGAUUUACAGAAGACAUAAAUACAAGUUAUCUUAUGAUUAAAUAAAUUAAGUUCGCAGUUGAUAAAUAAAGUUGGGCACUUUAUUUAUAUAUAAACUGUAAUAAAUUCAUUGAAUGAUUUUUCUUAAUCAUGUAUGAAUUUAUUGAUGUAGUACGAUUACAUUGAACAAGAUCACAUAUGAGAUUUAAUUAACUUUAUAAUAACUGUUAGACUUAUUAAAUCUUAUAGGCAUUGAUUUUACUGUAACUUUAAUCUUGAGUUAGUUAUGAUUUCAUGAUUGUAAUUUUUAUUCCAUUUGAAUUACCAAUGAGCAUGACACACACUUGUUGUCAAGAUUACCCGGUAUCUCGGUGGGAGCAAUUAUGAGAAUUGGAGUUAUAGAUUAACAAUAUAGAAUUUGUACAACACAUCUCUUGAUGGGUUUUCGGCACUUGAUCAUAGAAUUCUCUGGUCAGAGUGUGUCAACAUAUUUAGUAUGUUGAAAAUGAUCAUUAGAGAAAAUCAGUAAGUAUCAAGGAAUAAGAUGUAAUUAAAUUGAUUUGACAGUUGCGAUAUCGAUUUAAUUAACGAUGUGGUACAAAAGAUUAUGCAGUAAAGAAAUCAAUGUGGCAUGGGUCGAAUUAUUAUUCAAGAGCACUAUCUGAGACAGCAUACAAUUAUGGAGGUCAAUUCUAAUAUUUUAGUGGAGUAGAUUUGGAAUUAAAUAAUUGGUCUAGUUUAAUUACAUGCCUAAUUAUUGUAGCAACUAUUGUAUGUACCCAUAUGAUCCAUGGGUUAGCUCAUUUAAUUGACUGCACCGCUAUUGGAUUAAUAAGAAAGAUAACUAGCAAUUUGGGUUAAAAGCCUAAAUUUAUUAUUUAGUGGGAGAAUCCAUAUAAUAUACUUGUGUCUAAGGGGUCUUGUGUUAUUUUACAAGAUGGACCCCUAUGACAAGAAAGAAAUAACGUUACUUUUGGUUUAUUAUUUUUUAAUUUAAAUCAAACUUGAUUUAAUAGAAUUAAAAAAUAUAAAAAUAUGGAGCCUAGGUUUCCACUAAGAUAGAGAUGUAAUGGCUUAUUUUCUCCCAAAAGGAAGACAGAAGCCACAUUAUACAAAUUAGAGAAAGAUUUUUUCUCUAUAAUUUUAAGAGAAAAAUUUUCUCCUGCUAAUUGCUUUUAGUGGUGAUAAAGGCGCCCCCACGUCAAGUGCAUAUAAAACCUGAGUCAUAACUUGUAAGAUCAUUGGUGACGGAUUGUGAUCUAACAAGUGUGAUGGUAACAUAUUGUGAUCUAACAGGCGUGGUGGUGAGAAAUCAUGAUCUAGGAGCCUGGAUUAACUCAGCUAAAAAGCCAAAUCGGAUUGUCAAAGUAUGAUUUUUUAGAUUACGAAUUCCUAUAUAUUAUAUGAGAUCGAUCUUAAAAGGUUUUUUUUAAAACAGAUUUUUUUUUCCAACAGUUCUUGAAGAUAAAGAUGAGGAACAAAUUCAAAGACAUGAGCAGAACACUUGAUGGAAUAUAUAAGAAGAGGGAAUGUACAAUCCUUCUUCUUGAAGUGUAAAGUAUUGGAUUUUUAUUUUAAUAUAAUGAACUCAAUUAUAUUUUUUAGUAAUUGUUUUAAUUUUAUUACACUUUGAUUAUAUAAUUUGUGUAAAAAUUGAUAAUGAAAAAAAGUUUCACAUUUUUUAAGGACUAUUCGGUAUUUCUAAGGUUUAAAAUAUGGUUCGCAUCUAUUUUUUUUCAAAAAGUUACAUAUUUUUACUGAUGGAUAUAUUUUAUUGAAAAAAUAUUAUUACCGCGAAAAUGUGUCCCUAAGAAAUGUUCUUAUUCGUCAUUUAAACAAAUUUUUUGAUAGACGUAUUUUAUUUUUACGGAGGAAAAUGUUCCUCGGCAAUAAUCCAUUUUUCCGAGAGACCAUCAGAUUAAUAAACUUAAGGACAAGCGUAUUCAUGAUGGACUCCAAUUAUCAUUUUUCUUGAAUUUUUAGAAUCAGUAAGGGAAAUUUUCCCUCGGUUAACAAGUUGGAGUUUAAAUGUUUCUUUUCAAAAUGUUAGGGAAUUUUUUGUUCAUUUUCCUAAACAUUUGGGUGUACAAGUCCUUUUUCAAUACAUAUAUAGAGAGAGAGAGAAUAAGUAAGUAUGCCACAAUUAGAACAUACUAUAUAGGAUAUGAUGAUCACUAGUCAAUCUUUGCUUCUUAUCCGAAUUACAAUUUUAAGAUAGAGAAAAAGUUAUUAUUAGCAUAUGAUAUUUGUUUAAUUAUGGUUUUUUCUUAUUUUGAUAGCACAUGUGAUGGACAUUUUGUGAAUGCAUGAUUGUUUUUCGGCUGCAACUGACAAUUCAAUCCCUAUGAUCGUGGUUUAAUUAACUGUAACUGCUAUAAUUGCUAAACUGAGUUUUCGCUGUUGGUAAGUAAAAAAAAAAUUUUAAUAAUUUAAAAUAAUUAUGUUCGUUGUUCAAUCGUUUAUUUGCUUUUAUUUUAAGGAGAAAGAUUGGUGCACCCCGAUCAUUUGGAAAAGGGAAAAAAAACUCAUUGACAUUUUAAAAAAGAUAUUUAUAACCCUGUUUUUAUCAGAUUUUGUUUAUUUUUAACAAAAAAAAAUUUCAACUCUGAAAAUGUCCUCAAAAAAUAAAUACUGGUUGCCUAAUUCGCCCACAGAUUUUUAAUAAAAUUACAAAUAUAUCCUUAUUCAUAAGGAUUGGAAUUUUGACUUAUAGAUCCAAUUUAAUUUCCCAAUUUCCUAAUUUAACCAUUGGGUUUUAAUAAAAUUACAAAAAUAACAUUGAUAACUCUAUGAAAUAAGAGUUAUCAUGAUAUUUUUAGAUUUAAAUCAAUAAUACUUAGAGAGUAAAUAAUGUGUUUUUCUUGCAUUUUUAUUAUAUUUUGCAUAAACAUUCAUCUUAGUUUAUUCGUAAUAAUUUUUUUUGAUUUAGAAUAAUUUGUGUGCUAAAUCAUAUGCAUAAUUGUAGGUGUCCAGAAGCCCAAAUUUCAAGGAAGGAAUGCUGAUGCAAUAGGCUUGCAAAAGAUAGAAAAGAACUUGGCUGCAAAAGAUAGAAAUGAACUUGACUACAAAAGAAUUGAAAUAAAUCUGGAACAGUGCAGUUGUUGUAGCUAUUGUUGUAGCAACCAUUACUGUAGCAAUCCUGGAACAACGACAGAUAAAAUUUUCGCGUGGGAUACUUGUAGAAUUGCGAUCUACAAUUUCCUAAUCUGACUUAUGCGUGCCCUAGGCUUCCGUUUAUCCUAAUUUUCAGGUAUAAAAGAAACACACAUCAUAAGGAAUAAAGAGAGCCGUCACCCAAGGAGAAAAACCACAAAGAAACAAAAGAAAACAAGAUUCAAGAGAGAGAUUAAGGGCUGCACAAGAGGAGAAAUUGCAGAGAUCAAUUUGGAGCUCAGUUCUGCUUAUUCUUGUCUUGUUUUCUUGUUUUCUAUUUAUUCAUGAGGAUGUGUUUCAUGGCUAAAAUUUUGUUCUUUAUUUUUCUUUUGUAAAUCAUGAACUAAAUGUAUUUGUAGUUCAGUGAUAAACAAUCUUGAUGGUUUAUUGAAUAAAAAUAUGUGUUGUUGCAUAUUUGCUGUAGCAUUUUGUUUUGAUAGCAUUGAUUUUUAUUCAUUAUUUCGGCUGAUCACCCAUUUAAUAAUACAAGUUAGGAGAGAGCCACAAAAUGGCCUAUGUUAGUGGAACAUAUCAGAGCAAUACUUGGUUUUAGAUUGAGUUUCCUGGAUUAAGUUUAACUUAUCCCAAAAGGGCCAUACUUAAUCUAAAAUUAGUGAUGAACUAGACAUAAUGAUUCACUUUGUAGGGUAAAUAGAACCUAAGCGCGUAAUGCUAUAUCUUAUGUUGGCAUAACAACUGAUCACUGUUAGGUUGCAUAUAGAUAUAAGAUAUCCAACAUGCGACGACUGAUGAUACAUAAGGAUUCUGCCCAGUGCUGUAGCAGAUGCUGCAGCAACCAAGCCAAACAUUAGAAAAAUAGUAAUACCAUUAAGAGAGUUUAUUCACUCAACUACUCUAUAUUUCCAUUGGUUUUAUCCUUGAGUUUGACGUAAUAAUUUACUCUGUUGCAUUUUAUUUAUUGCGCUUUUAUUUUAAUUAGUAUAAUAGUUUACUAAUUGUUUUAUUUUAAUUUAGCACAAAAUCUGCACUGUUAAUAUUGUUGUAGCAAAUAUGAUAACAUCAAUUCUUGUGGAGACGAUCUUGAAUACUCAUCAUUUUAUUACUUGUUGUGUACACUUGCACAUUGACACCAAUAGCAUUUGAAUUUAUACCCAACAUCCAUCAUUUAUGGAUAUAUGUAAAAAUUAAAAAAUAAUUGAAAGUGAAAAUUGUGACAAGAUUAUUUUCUGGUCUAUAAAGCCAUUAAUGUAUACUUUCUACAGUUAUGCAAAUAAAAAAGGCACGGCAUCAAACAUAAUCAUUUAACAUUAUAACAGUAGAAAAUAAGUCCUUUAUCCCUACAUGUUUAUGAUGAAACAAUUUAGUCAAAACUAUAAAUAAGCAAAAUCGAUGACGAUGAUUAUAUUGGUUUCGAUCCCAAUGAUUGGUAAGUUUAUCGGUGGUGGAAAAUGGCUAGAAAAGUGUUGGUGGAGAGGAGUUGUUUGAUGCUGUUGAUGUGGGUCAAUACGCGAUGGCAUCUGGGAAAUGGAUAGGGUUGGUGUCUCACUAUUUUUGACAGAUUCUGAUUAUUUUAGAGGCAAAAUGGUUGUGACUUGGUUGGCUUUUUUCGGCCGACUCCUUUGAACAUUGAUGGAGGUCUUGAUCGACAAUGAAAUGUCAAAAUGUCGACCGGCUCCUUCAGUUUCACUUUUGCAGUAGUACCGAUGAUGAGUACGGGGUUGAGGGCUUGAGCAACUGGGUUCAGGGAUUUUGGGUUGACUUUCUCAAUUGAUUAACAAAAGAAAGUUGUUUUUAGCUAUUUUUGUUGUUUAUAUUUUUUAAACGGACUGGGAGGGUUUUGUGAUUUUUGGGAAAUUUCACCAGUGAUUAGUAAGCGAAUGUGCAAUAUUAACCUUUUAAUUACUUUAACAAUUGAAAUCUGUUAAGAAAAAAGGGUGUAAAUGUCUUUUUAAAACUUUAAAGAGUUAUUUGUUCCCUUUCUUAAAUAUUGUGGUGUUUUAGUCAUUUUCCCUUUAAUUUAUGCAAAAUGUUUAUUCAAUGAGUUAGCAAAAGCGAAAAUAAAAUAGCGAAAGCAGAAUAAAAAAAUAGUGAAAUACUUUAUUGAUGCGGAUAUAGCAAGUUGUUGGAUCAUAAACUUGAUCCAACAUGAAGAAAUUCAAGCUCAAUUCAUAAAAGCUUCUUGUGGUAGGUAAAGUUGGUAUGGUUGGUGUAAUAGGUGAGUGGUAAGUUUUAAUGAAUGAUGAAAAUUUCUAUGAUAACUGAAUAAAUGAAUGGUUGUGAUUGGUUUGUUUUAUGUGUAAGUACCCUUUCUCUCUUUGGUUUAUGCAUAAAGUCUAAAAAGAAGAAAGCAUAAGAAGUAAAACAAAGCUUUUGAGAGUGAUUUAUGAGAGUGUGUGAAUUGUUCUUAUAAUGCAUGUUUUAUCAUUCAAAUUCUUUAACAAAGUGGUACCAGACCUAGUAAUCAAUGCUUCACACAGUGGUUAACAUAUCAGACCAAAGAGCUCAAUGAGAGGAGCACGAUGCCACAAAAAUCAGCCUUAUCAGAGUCUGAAAGCAACCACAAUUACUGCCAGAAAUUUGUUGUCUCGAAACUAAGUUACUCACCGAGUUUAACCAAUCUAAAUCAAGUUGAACAAAACUGAACCAAGUCGAGCUGAACCGAGCUGAGUUUAGUGAUUUGAGCCAACCAUUGACCGUUGACUAAUCGUUGACUGUUGACCAAAAGGUGACCAUUGAUCAAAAGUUGAUCUAAGUCCCUCCCAAGUUUUUUUGACAUUUCUGACUUAUCCAUGCAUUUAGAAUUUUCAAAUUCUCACUCAAUUUGUGAGUUAUUGCAAAUGGUGGCAUGAUAUCAUUCUAGGUUUCACCAUCGAAGUUAAGUAAUUUUGACAACUGAAAUAUUAGUUGAAGGCUCUAUUGGGUGCACACGAUAUAUAGGAAGUCGUGGAAAAAAAACUUUAUUUUACUAGAAAAUGAAGCUACUUCAAGCUGUGGCGUAAAAAGAGAAUUUGAAAAAUUUAAGGAAGAAAGAGAAUGAAGCAAUGUAUCUCAUCUUUCAAUUAUUAAAUGAAGAUGCUUUCGAAAAUAUUGUUAGUGCAACGUCCUCAAAAGAAGCAUAAAAGAAGCAAGAGACCUGUUACAAAAGAGUAGAACAAAUUAAAAAAGUUCGUCUCCAAAUAUUAUGAGGAGAAUUUGAGUCCUUAUGCAUGAAGGCAUUUUAGUCAAUUUCUGACUAUUUUACUUAGGUUAUGACCAUUUCUAAUAAAUUAAAAAGAUAAUGGCAAGGAGUUCAAAGAGUUAAGGAUCAUUGACAAGAUGCUUCGAUCAAUGAAAUCAAAGUUCAACCAUAUUAUUAUAACAAUUGAGGAAACAAAAGAUUUGGAGGCUAUGACGGUUGAGAAACUUCAAGGAAGGUUAUAAGCUUAUUAAGAAAAAUUGAAAAAGAAGAAAGGAAUCGAAGAACAACUUCUCAAGACUGAAAUCAAUCCAAAAAAGAGAGAAGAAAGCUUCGACAAUCAAAAAAGACAUUAUGUCUGAGAUAGAGGUCGAGGAUGAGGUAAGGGUCGUGGUUAUGGACGAGGUCGUAAUUUCAACAACAACUAAUCGAAUUAUAGAAAGGAAAAAACUCAAUCAAAGGACGAAACAGAGGCAAUCCAAGAUCUAAAUAAGACAAAUCCCAAGUGCAGUACUAUAAUUGUCCAAAGUUUGGGUAUUACGAUUCAGAAUAUAGAGCUCUAAGUACCAGAAUUUAUGAGAAAGUGAAUUAUAUUCAAGAGAAAGAGGAUGAAGAUGGUAAAUUCUUACUAGCACAUAAUGGCACCAAUAGAGGUCAAGAAAAUAUAUAGUAUCUUGACACAAGUGCUAGCAAUCACAUGAGUGGAAACAUGAAUAUGUGAAUGACAAUGUUGCUUUUGGAGAUGAUUCAAAAGUACCAGUGAAACACAAAGAUAACAUUCUUUUUUUGUACAAAAGAUGACAAACACCAACUAAUUUCAAAUGUUUACAUGUGCCUAGCACAAAAAGCUACAUCCUCGAUUUAUGUUAACUCUUGGUAAAAGACUACGAUAUUCACUUAAAAGAUUAUAGUCAUUUUCUAAGAGAUGACAAAAGAAACCUAAUGACAAGGGUGAGAAUGUUAAAUAAUAGAAUAUUUCCUUUAAAUAUUUAAAAUGAUGUUGCAACGUGUCUUAAGGCUUGUCACAAAGUUUCAACCUGGAUUUGGCAUCUUGGAUAUGGGCAUCUCAAAUUUGAAUAAUUAGAGUUAUUAUAAAAAAAGAACAUGGUGAAAGGCCUACCUCCAAUCAAUUAUCCCAAUCAACCUUGUGAAGGAUGUUUACUUGGCAAGCAGUUUAGAAAAAGCUUUCCAAAAGACUCAAACUCAAGAGCUCAGAAGUCACUUAAGCUUAUUCAUACUGACGUGCGCGGUCUAUCCAAGCCAAGCUCCCUUGGUAAAAAUAACUACUUCAUUCUCUUCACAGAUAAUUUUUUUAAUUUUUCAAGAAAAACUUGAGUGUAUUUUUUAAAGUAGGAGUGAGAAAUAUUUGAAGCUUUCAAAAACUUCAAAGCUAAAUUGGAAAAUAAAGUGGACACCAGAUUAAAGGCAUGAGAUUUGAUAGAGGUAGAGAGUUCAAUUAUAAAGUAUUCAUAGAUUUUUGUGGAGCAAACGGAAUUCGGUGCCCUGUAACAAUUUCAAGAUCUCCCUAAAAAAAUGUUGUUUUAGAAAGGAAGAAUAUAACUAUUCUCAACAUGACAAGAAGCAUGCUCAAGACUAUGAGACUACUUAAAGAAUUUUGGACUAGAGCUGUUGCAUGUGCAGUCUAAUUAUCAAACUGAUCUCUAACAAGAAGUGUGUAGGGUAAAACACCACAAGAAGCAUGGAUUGGAAGAAAAACCGAUAUCACCCAUCUGAGAGUUUUUGGAAGUAUUACCCACGUACAUGUACCAGACGAGAGAAGAGCAAAGUUGAAUGACAAAAGUGAAAAGUUCAUCUUUAUCAACUAUGACAACAAUUCCAAAAGAUACAAGUUGUACAAUCUAAAUAACGGGAAGAUAGUGAUCAGCCAACAUGUAAUUUUUUAUGAUGAAAGAGAAUGAGAUUUUGGCUCUAGUAUGGAUGACUUCAACUUCUUUCUUAUUGAAGAAGAUGAUCAUACACAGAUAAAAAAAGUAUAAGAAUAAUAAGAACCAGCUACUUCAUCUAUCUUACUGGUAUCAAUGACAUGUAGAGAUUCAUCACCAUCUUUCUUAAAUGAAAGAACUAAAUAACACACAAGGAGUUUUCAAGAUCUCUAUGAGGCAACUGAAAGACAUGAAAAUCUCAUUCUUUUUUGGCUCUUUGCUAAUAGUGAGCUAGUCAAUUUCUAAGAAGUUGUAGAAGAUGAGAAUGAGAGAAAAGUAAUGGAUGAAGAAAUCAAAGCUAUCGUGAAGAAUGACACUUAAGAACUUGCUACUCUUCAUAAAGUCACAAGCCAAUCGUUGUCAAAUAGGUGUACAAGAUGAACAUAAAUGCUAAAAGAGAAAUUGAAAGGCACAAGGUGAGGCUAGUUGCAAAAGACUUAUUAUUCCUUUGGCUGCUAAAAAAAAGGAAGAUUUUUUUAAAUGGAUGUGAAGUUUGGUUUCUUGAAUGGAUUUCUCGAAGAAGAAGUUUACAUCGAACAACCAUCAGACUAUGCGGUGAAAGGAUAUGAAGACAAAGUUCUAAGAUUGAAGAUAGCUCUUGAUGGUUUAAAACAAGCACCAAGGGCAUGGUAUAGCAAAAUUGACAAGUAUUUCCAAGAGAACGACUUCAUCAAAUGCCCAUAUGAACAUGCUCUAUACGUCAAAGAAAAAGAUGAAGACCUUUUGGUUGCAUGCCUUUAUAUGGAUAAUCUCAUCUUCACUGGAAGUAAUCCAAGCUUAUUUGAAGAGUUCAAGGGAGUAAUGAUCAAAGAGUUCGAGAUGACUACCAUCACAUUAAUAGCAUAUUAUCUCGGCAUUGAAGUCAAGUAAAAGGAAGAAUGCAUAUUUAUCUUUCAAGAAAGCUACGCAAAAGAGAUUCUCAAGAAGUUCAAGAUGAAUCAUUGCAAGCCUAUAAGCAUGCCAGUGGAAUGCGGAGUCAAGUUAUCCAAACAUAAUGAAAGCGAAGAUGUAGAUCCAACAUUCUUUAAAAGUCUAGUUGAAAGCCUACAUUAUUUGAUAUGCACGAGACCAAAUCUCCUGUAUACUGUUGGACUUGUGAGUUUAUACAUAGAGAAUUCAAAGAUCACAUAUUCUAAAGCUGUAAAAAGAAUCCUUCCAUACAUCAAAUGUACAAUUAAUUUCGGUUUGUUAUACUUAUUUUCUAAUGACUACAAGUUUAUUGGAUAUAGUGAUGACGAUUGUUAUGGAGGUGUAGAUGAUCGAAAGAGCACCACAUGAUUUAUGUUCUUUGUGGGAGACAUUGUUUUCACAUGGAUGUCAAAGAAGCAAUCUACUAUUACACUCUCAACUUGUGAAGCUGAGUAUAUAGAUACUACUUCAUGUGUUUGUCAUGCAAUUUGGCUAAAGAAUUUGUUGAAGGAGUUAGGUAUGCUGUAAGUAGAGCCAACCAGGAUUUGUGUUAAUAACAAACCAGCAAUUGCCCUAUUCAAGAAUUCAGUCUUUCAUGAUCAAAGCAAACACAUAAAUACUCGUUAUCAUUUCACAAGAGAGUGUAUUACAAGAAAAGAAUUGCACCUUAAGUAUGUGAAAUCACAAGAUCAAGUAGCUGAUAUCUUCACCAGGCUGGUCAAGUAAGAAGACUUUGUAAAAUUCAGAAAUUUGCUUGGUGUCACAGGAUCAAGUUUAAAGAGAGGUGUUGGAUCAUAAACUUGAUCUAAGAUGAAGAAAUCCAAACCCAAUUCAUAGAAGCUUCUUGUGGUAGAUAAGGUUGGUGUGGUUAGUGAAGUAAGUUUGGUAGGUAAGGUUGGUGUGGUUAGGGAAGUAGGUUUGGUAGGUAAGGUUAGUGUGGUUGACGAAGUAGAUGAGUGGUAGGUUUUGAUGAAUGGUGAGAAUUUGUGUAGUAGUUGAAUAAAUGAAUAGUUGUGAUUGAUUUGUUUCAUGUAUAAAUACCCCAUCUCCCUUUGGUUUAUGCAUCAAGUCUAAGAAGAAGAAAACAUAAGAAGCAAAACAAAGCUUCUAAGCGUAAUUAUGAGAGUGUGUGAAUUGUUCUUAUAAUGCUUUUGAGCUUUCUCUAAUAAAAUUUAUGUUUUAUCCUUCAAAUUCUCAAACAUAGGUAUAAGUAUUGUUAUAGAAUGCAUCAACUCAAUGAACAAGCAGAAAAAAUAAAAAUUACCUCACUAUGAAACUAAUAACUAAAUUAUAUUUUUGUCAAAACCACUCAAUAACACAAGAUUUAGAUGAACAACCUAGAGCCCUACACUAGAGACUAAGAAAGACAAUUAUUUGUUAACACUACAAGAAAACAGAUAAUAGAUGACGAGAAAUAACUGUCAUAAAAGGGGGUAUAUGACAAACAGUUCAUCCGUCAUCUAUGUCACUCUCAUUAAUUUAUGACAGAAUAUUUUCCGUCAUAAAUUUAUGAUGGUAUUUUAUAGUCAUAUAUAUGUCACACAAUAUUUUAAUGUAAAAAAAUAAUUAAAUUAAAAUUUGAAUUUAUUUAAAUUUUUGUGCGAUUUUUUUUAAAAUUUUUUGUGGGAAAUUCAAUUAUUAUUUGAAAAUUUAUUAUUCAAUUUUGACUGGAAAUUAUUUAUGAUAGAAUAUAUGAUGGCUUUUUCCGUCAUAAGGUUUGGAUUUUUUUAAAUUAUAUUAUAAUUAUAAUUUAUUGAUGAAUUCCUGUUUACAAAUUUAUUUAAUUAAUAAAAUAAAUAUAAAAAAAUUAAUAUCAAUUAACAUUCAUUCAAUCCAAAAUUUAAUUUCAAAAUAAAUACAUCUGAUAUCCAAUGUGAUUUCCACCAAUACAAAAUAAAACAUCCCAAAUUGAACAGAGAUGUGCUACAUGAAUGAAAUUAAUUUCAUAAUGUUUGGAUGAGACCGCUGAUAAAAAACAUGCUAAGCAACAUAGAGGACAUAACAUUAAGGGGGUAAUAAACUAUUUUUAAGGACAACUUAUAAAGUGUAGCAUAAGUUUAUAAACUACCAACAAUAUUUUUCACACUACAAGUAACAAAAUUAGCCCAUCCCGAAAGAAAACUCAGUGUACCAUUUCCAGUGACAAUAUGACGCCAAACUUCAACAAUCAUUAACAAAUUCUGGUGUAGCUUUUGAUCAAGCUCGAUACUUCACGGACGUCAUCAGCUCUACGAAAUCCCUAAAAACUGCAGCAAGAACACAAGUCAAUAUGCUGGCACGGAGAAUUUUAUGCAACAAAAUAGAAAAUUGUUAAUGAACAAUAGAAGCAUAAUCAAGAGUGGAGUCCUCAAAUUAUAAGCUUUCCACCCAUUAUGAAAUUUCUUCAGAUCUAGCACUAUCUGUUCUUUUAGCACAGAUCACAAGAAAUGCUUGAACACCAAAAAGUGGGGUGUGUUUCAAAAAGAAUUUCUGAAAACUAAAUUUAUAUGUAAAAGAUAGAUGGUAUCAAAAAAUGCAUUACCGCAGUCUGAAUCAUGAGGUCCUGGGGAUGCUUCAAGGUGGUAUUGGAGGGACAUGACAUUUAGUGCCGGAUAAGCAAGACCGGCACAGGUACCGUCAUUAAGAUUGAUAUGAGUCACUUCCACACCUUUUGGAAGUGUAGCAGGGUCAACUGCAUAGUUAUGAUUCUGCAAAAUAUAAAAUUACGGUGUAUAAAUGAACAAACUAAAAAGGGGAAAAUAAAUUAUAGAAAUUUUUCAAACUAGCACCCAAUUAAUGAAAGUUAAAUCCAAAGUUUUGAACUGUAACAACUUUAGGAGAAAAAGAAGCACUACAUUAUCCGAUUCAUUUCUACAAGUUUAAUAUCCCCAAGAAUAGGAUAUCUUCCACUAAAUUUUUCCAAAUAAAAACUUGUGUUGUAAAUGGAAAUUUCUAGAAAUCAGGCCAUUAGCAUAUAAUCAAGUUCGUCUAAACACACCUGAGCACUAAUCUCUACCCGACCAUUUUGCAUGUUAUGAACAGGAUGAUUUCCUCCAUGAUGACCAAACUUCUUUUUCUUUUUUCUUUUAUUGACAUUACCUUACUUCCAUCUCAAAUGGUAAGGGGCUUUACAGGUUGUGCAAUGAGCAAAUGAAAAACCCUUCCUGCAAAUAAAAAAUGAUUAAAUAAAAAUAGGACACAGCUAAAAAGAACCAUUCCAGAUAAAAGCAAGAACCACUAUGCAGCUUAAGAUCAGAAAAGUCUUCCCAGAAAAGAAAUUACCUAGUUGGUAUCAUUACUAUCCAAGACUGUAUUUUGUUGUAAGAUAUAUUGGAAAAUUAAAUAGGACACAUAUUAGGAUAUAUUUAAAUAAUAUAUAUAUAUAUAUAUAUAGUCAAUCCAUUGCCGAUUUAAUUGGAGCCAAACACUCAUCUGAAUGGAGCCCAUCACCCCGAUUGGGAUGCUUUUAUCUCUUUCUCGUAGUGUCAGUAGGUAUUUUUAGUACGAAGUGUAUAAAUUGAAAUAUAUCCAACGAACUUAACAAUAUAAUUGAAAUAAUCCUUUCCUCAGAGGUAUUUUAACAAACACUUGAUGUGUCGUUUGUGACACAAUCUAAUCUUAACAAAAUUUAAAAUUUUUCAUGCCCAGUACAUGUCCCAAUUCCUUAUUAUCACAUGUAUUCGUCAAACAAAUAAUUUAAUCAGCAAUUAAAAAAUAAACCAUGGAAAUAUAACAACACCUUGGAGUGAAGCCAAGCAAAACUGUGAAGUAAAUCCGAUCAAAACCGUGAAAUGCAGUUGACCAAAACCAUAGAAGGGUCGAAGGAAGCAUGCUGCUUUCGAUGGAAGCUGUCAUUGUCUUCGCGUGCUCACCAAAGACAUGUCAUAAACAGCCCUGGCCUUUGGAUCCGACAGCGUCUCGUAAGCGUUGUGGAUCUCGGUGAAAUCCCAACCGUUACUCGACAAAUCGUGAUGAUAAACCUUCGCCAAACUCCGAUACACCGUCUUAAUCUCCGAAAUCAUCGCAGUUGGCUCUACCCUCAGCACCUCGUACAAGCUCCCUCCCAUCCCCGGCGCCAUCAACGGCAUCUCCACUGAAACCGCACGGGGACUCCUCUUGUUCCUUCCCGAAGCGGCAGUGAAAUCGAAGAGCACCAGGGGAGCAACGGCAACAACUUAACGUGUGUUUAAUUAGAAUAGAUUUAGGGUUCACUUUUUCAUUUUAUACUUUAGAAAUUAUGUAGUGUAAUUGUUCACAUAUUAAGUAAUGAAUUAUAAGUCGACAUGUGGCUAAGUAAAAAUAAUAAUUUGUGAUAAAAAAUAAUUCUAUCAUAAAACUAUUAUUAAUUCAUGAUAAAAAAUAAUUCUAUCACAAAUUCAUCAUUAAUCCAUUAUAAAAAAUAAUUCUAUCAUAAAACUAUCAUUAAUCCGUAAUAGAAAAUAAUUCUAUCACAAAGCCAUCAUUAAUUUAUGAUAGAUUAAAAAUUAUGCACAAGUAUAUCAUAAUUUUAUGAUAUACUCAGAAUUUGUCAUAAGUUGUCUGUUGUCUAUUAACAGUUUUCUUAUACUGUAAGGCAUAGGAAUAACUAAUGAUAUUACAAUCCUAUUCGUAAGUAUCUAAACAGAAUACAAAUCAAAUUACCAUUCCAGAUAAAAGCAAGAACCACAAUGCAACUUAAGAUUAGAAAAGUCUUCUCAGAAAAGAAAUUACCUAGUUGGUAUCAUUACUAUCCAAGGCUGUAUUUUGUUGUAAGAUAUAUCGGAAAAUUAAAUAGGACACAUAUUAGGAUAAUAUUUAAAUAACAUAUAUAUAUAUAUAGUCAAUCCAUUGCCGAUUUAAUUGGAGCCAAACACUCAUCUGAAUGGAGCCCAUCACCCCGAUUGGGAUGCUUUUAUCUCUUUCUCGUAGUGUCAGUAGGUAUUUUUAGUACGAAGUGUAUAAAUUGAAAUAUAUCCAACGAACUUAACAAUAUAAUUGAAAUAAUCCUUUCCUCAGAGGUAUUUUAACAAACACUUGAUGUGUCGUUUGUGACACAAUCUAAUCUUAACAAAAUUUAAAAUUUUUCAUGCCCAGUACAUGUCCCAAUUCCUUAUUAUCACAUGUAUUCGUCAAACAAAUAAUUUAAUCAGCAAUUAAAAAAUAAACCAUGGAAAUAUAACAACACCUUGGAGUGAAGCCAAGCAAAACUGUGAAGUAAAUCCGAUCAAAACCGUGAAAUGCAGUUGACCAAAACCAUAGAAGGGUCGAAGGAAGCAUGCUGCUUUCGAUGGAAGCUGUCAUUGUCUUCGCGUGCUCACCAAAGACAUGUCAUAAACAGCCCUGGCCUUUGGAUCCGACAGCGUCUCGUAAGCGUUGUGGAUCUCGGUGAAAUCCCAACCGUUACUCGACAAAUCGUGAUGAUAAACCUUCGCCAAACUCCGAUACACCGUCUUAAUCUCCGAAAUCAUCGCAGUUGGCUCUACCCUCAGCACCUCGUACAAGCUCCCUCCCAUCCCCGGCGCCAUCAACGGCAUCUCCACUGAAACCGCACGGGGACUCCUCUUGUUCCUUCCCGAAGCGGCAGUGAAAUCGAAGAGCACCAGGGGAGCAACGGCAACAACUUAACGUGUGUUUAAUUAGAAUAGAUUUAGGGUUCACUUUUUCAUUUUAUACUUUAGAAAUUAUGUAGUGUAAUUGUUCACAUAUUAAGUAAUGAAUUAUAAGUCGACAUGUGGCUAAGUAAAAAUAAUAAUUUGUGAUAAAAAAUAAUUCUAUCAUAAAACUAUUAUUAAUUCAUGAUAAAAAAUAAUUCUAUCACAAAUUCAUCAUUAAUCCAUUAUAAAAAAUAAUUCUAUCAUAAAACUAUCAUUAAUCCGUAAUAGAAAAUAAUUCUAUCACAAAGCCAUCAUUAAUUUAUGAUAGAUUAAAAAUUAUGCACAAGUAUAUCAUAAUUUUAUGAUAUACUCAGAAUUUGUCAUAAGUUGUCUGUUGUCUAUUAACAGUUUUCUUAUACUGUAAGGCAUAGGAAUAACUAAUGAUAUUACAAUCCUAUUCGUAAGUAUCUAAACAGAAUACAAAUCAAAUUAUUACUUAAUCUCCAACAAAUUUUUCUACAUCAAUCUUUUUUUUCAUUUUGGCAUUUUCUUGUACGUUCGGUAGUCUCGUGUAUUAUGGCUGGAUUGUACCAAAUCAAAAAAAUUCUUACGAUUUACAAUAUAAUUAUUAUUACUUAUUAGGUUAAAGUUGUUUGUACUCUUCCAUAUCCUUUUACGUUGCACAAAAAGGUAGAUGGAUGAACAAAACAGUCAUCAUCAAUUUUAUAAUCCCUACCUUCCCAUGAUUCAAACUCAAGUCACCAGCUCAAUAAUAAAAUUACUUAAAAAAUCAUUUGAGGAUACCUAUGAAGGCUGUUCACUCUUGCAUAUCUAUUUGCAACAAAAUAAUGAAAUCUCUCAUUCAUGGACACACCCUAAUUUGGAGUGAAUUUUGUUCAAUUUUUGUGUCUCCUUAUGAUUAGUUGUUGUAACACCAAUAAAGAUACUUUGAUGUGCUACCAAUUAAUGAAUUAAAAUUUUCUCAAGUGUUCUCCCCCAGAGUUAUUGAUUUUUUUCUUCUGAAAAAAGGAUCCUGAUACCCAUUUUAAUUUAUUUAACUUAUCUCUUACAAACAACAAUUUCUUGUAUACAUAAAUGAGUUGAAACAAAGAUCUUGCCCAACAAUAAUAUAAUGGUACUUUAAUUUUAUAUAUAUAGCACACAAGGACCAUUCCUAAUGAUAUUGAUGACAACCAACGAUGCCGAACGAAUUGUCAACCAAACAAGGAUUAUCUUGUAAAAUAAUCCACUUACAAUCAUGGCAGGAAUCUCUGGACUGAUCAUAAAUGUCAAACCAAUGAACUUUACCAUUCCAUUUAAAACUACAAUAGAAUAGACUAUUUCCAAAAAAGUUACGUCGGAAAUUAAUGGGAAAACUCUCGUCUUGAGAAAGCACAUGUUCGCCAAGGUCAUCAUUUUUGGACUUGCAAUGAACGGUAAGAUCCAAUCCAUUUCCUAACUUAUUGUAGAUGUUUACAUGGAUUUUAGGGCCAAUAGCAGCAUCGCUCAUGGGCAUGUACAAAACAAGAAGAGCCAGUAAAAGCAUAAUUUUUGUAAAAGAACUCAUUUUCUACUUGGUUUUUUAAGUUUGUAUAAUAAGAAAUUGAAUUGCAACUCCCACUUUAAAUAGGGUACAAGGUUUACCAAAUAUGUCACGUGAGAAAAAUAAACGUGAAGUUGUGCUUAAUUUUCUAUAUAUAGAUCAUACAGCCUGCAACAAAAGGUGGAAACUUCAUUAUAUAUCCUCACUGUAGAUCAUUGUUGUUUCAAUUUUCCUUUUCGGCAUGGUAAAUAUCCGUGUUGGAUUCAAGUUCCAACGAUCCAUUUUUAUCCAAUAGAAAUUAAGAUGCCAACUGUUGCAUAUUUUACAAACGAAAUCUGGAGUGUUCUCUUUUUUACACUGAAUAAAAGUAUGCGAAAUAGUUAGACGAUGGUAUUUCAUUUUCUAUUAUUUUUUUCCCCUCUUCUUUGUGAUGGGCUGGGAACAAUUAGACGAACAAAAUUGAAAGGGAAAAGGUGACGAAUUUUCCUGUUCGAGAGCCUAAGGAAACCAACAUAGAGUCACUUCCAAUCCAAAGAUAUUGAACAAGUGACGAGAAUAUGAUUGCUCCAUACCUUGAACAAUGCUAUUUUUUUCACUUAAAAUCUAUACCAGUCGAUUGAAUGGGAUCCAAUGGAUAAAAAUUAAUGUAUUCGCUCGGAAUGUAAUUUAGAGUGGAUUAUGUUAAAUAUUGCGUCUCCAACUUAGAUGUCCUAAUUGUGAUAUUUUCAUAAGCGUUGGUGAAUCAAAAUUUCCAAGACUUUUCUUAUUGUUAAAAGCACUGUCGGGAUUGAAAUUGGGCAGUUGUAUCUUAAAAAUAUACCACUAAAGUGUUUAGUCAGCUCUAACUAAAGUGUUUGGUCAGCUCAAACUACUAUAAAUUAAAAGCUAAAUUAAUUUAGUUUUACACUUGUGUGAUGAAAAGUCUAAUAUAUCUUUAAUAAUUUUAUCCUUUAAUAAUUUUGAUAAAAUUAUUAUUUAAAAAUUUAUAAAGGAUAAAAUUAUUAUUUAAAAAUUUUAUUUACCACAUAUUAUUAAUUUUUAUUUUAUAAUUACAAUUUUUUUCACAAUAAUUAUAAUUUAAAAGUUACAAUACCUCAAUUUCAAAAAGGAUCUGAGUCAAUUUUACUCUUAUUUGAAAAAUGAUUCUACCAACCAUUUAAAUUUCCUCAAGAGUAAAUUUUGGAUUUUCCCUCAUAAAAUAAUAAUAUUUAAAAUAUUCUUCAAGCUAUUAUAAAAAUCAAUUUAUCUCUGUUGCUGUUUAAAUGAUAAAGAGUAAUUUUCAUUGAUCCCCCCUCACACUCGUACUGACCUCCCUUGGUCUUAACUGAAUUUUGCUUUGACUUUAGAUGACGAAGUGACCAAAUAUAAAAAUGCCCCUAAUUGGACGGGUGUACUAGUUAGCCUCUCUGUUACAUGUAUAUCAUCAUCAUCAUCAUCAUCAUUUAAAACAUAAAUCUCAAGCCAAAUAGAGACACGGGCGUAGUAUCAAUACAAAAAAUAAACACGUAAGCAAAAUCCAAAUUUAGUGGUCAGCAUAAAAUCUAACAACCUCCCUUUUCUUCACUUUUAUCAUUACGUUGUUAAAACGUAAUUAUUAAAUUUCUCUUCACAUGCAUUAAGCCAACACGGAAUAUUCCAGUUAUUUAUAAUUUCCUCCGUUACAAUUGUUUGGACAUGCUUUGAGCCAGAUGUGCGGAGCUUGGUGGUAGUGUUAGGAAAUUGAUGGAUGAAGAAGGACCGCAGCUAAAAUAAAAUUGGAAAAAAAUAAAGAACAAGCACAAAAGAGGAUACUAGAAAUUACGUGGUUCGGCUUUUAGCCUACGUCCACGAGCGAAGACAAAAGGAAAAUAUUUCACUAGUUAUAUGAGAAUUACAAGUAUUGUAAUAUUUUGACUCAUUUUCCAGAACCCCAAUACACCCAAUCUCUCACUCACUAGACUCACAAGAGCUUUAUAAUUUUAAGCUCUUAAAAUCUCUGAAGCUCUCUCCUUGUUAUUCUCUCACAAAUUGAAUGUACAAAAUAAAAUGGGGAGCUCUUGUUAUUCUCUCACAAAUUGAAUGUACAAAAUAAAAUGGGGAGCUCUCCCUUUUAUACCCAAAAUUGGCUAUUAAAUUAUUAUUAUUUGUUUUAAUCGCCUUUGAUUUUUCUUCAUUCUUCUUACUUUUGUUUUCUUCUUUCUUCUUUGUCAAAGUUUCUUUUUUUUUUUUCUUUCCUUAGGUGGCACCUCCUUGGACUUCAAUUUGGGUGGCCAAUUUGAAAAAAUGGUUCAUGGUUUGGUACCGCCCAACCAUGACUUUGACAGGUAGAUCACUAUUGACAUUUGGAUUUUUUCCAAAAAACAAAUUACAUUUUUGCCUUAAUUAGGAUUCUAAUGGUUGAAAAAAUUAGGACAAUCAAAGGAUAUGUCAAUCGAUUGUCCAUAAUCUGUUUGAUAUAAUACUUUAGAGAAAUGCCUUAUCUUUUAAUCAAUAAAAAUCACAAUUGCUCAAUGAUGUUAGUUAGGAAAUUGAUUAAGAGUGGGAAAUAUUAACGGAAAUGAUUUUUGUACUCGGUCAUUAUGAAUUAAUUGAAUCAAAUAAUAAAAUAAAUUUAUUAGCAUUUUUCCUUUUUAUUAUAGCAGAAUUCAACAUUCUGCCGUGAAUAAAUAAAGACAUGAUUUUGAUUUUUUAAGUUAAGUUACGAAACUACCAUUAUGAAAACGGUCAAAGCAAAGUUUGCUUAAGUCUAAGGGAGGUCAGUACGAAUUUGGAUGUCAAAUCCAUCUAAGAGUGGGUUGGACAUAUUUGAAGAAAGGACAGUGAAAAUUACCCAAGAUUAAAAAAAAAAAGUGGGGGAUCGUUGAUGAAAUUUUUUUUGUCUUUCAAACAAAAAUGAUAUUAGUGGAUGUUUAUAAUAAUUUGGAAAUGUUUUCAAGAUUAUUAUUUCGUGAGAGCAAAAUUUGAAAUUAACUCAAACAAGUUAUCUCUUACCAAUAAAUUCCUACAUGCCACCGUUCAUGUAUAUUUCAAAAUAAAAAUUCAAUUGAACAAGAUUUAUAACAAAAAUCUUUUCCAACAAUCGUCAAAUAGUUUUUAUUUUUGAUACACUGAUAUAUUACAAUCAAAGCUCUACUAAUAUUUAUAAUCAGACGUCAAUCGGGACUCUCCUCAAUAAUCCUAUUGUAGCACAGUCCGAAUGUCGACCCUUCGCUUAAAGUGAAGGGAGAUCUACCCUCACUAUUAAUACCGGAGGGGGAUCAAUUCUACCCCAAUGUGGGGAGACUAUUCAACCCCUAUUAUACAGGGGAAUCAAGUCCCAGCGUUGUGACUUGAACCUAGGACCUUAACAUUGUUGAGGUCGUGGGCGUGCCAAUGGGCUACGGGC